rnacentral:rRNA from 1 species
GACGAACGCUGGCGGCGUGCCUAAUACAUGCAAGUCGUGCGGACCUUUUAAAAGCUUGCUUUUAAAAGGUUAGCGGCGGACGGGUGAGUAACACGUGGGCAACCUGCCUGUAAGACUGGGAUAACGCCGGGAAACCGGGGCUAAUACCAGAUCGUUUUUUCCUCCGCAUGGAGGAAAAAGGAAAGGCGGCUUCGGCUGCCACUUACAGAUGGGCCCGCGGCGCAUUAGCUAGUUGGCGGGGUAACGGCCCACCAAGGCAACGAUGCGUAGCCGACCUGAGAGGGUGAUCGGCCACAUUGGGACUGAGACACGGCCCAAACUCCUACGGGAGGCAGCAGUAGGGAAUCUUCCGCAAUGGACGAAAGUCUGACGGAGCAACGCCGCGUGAGUGAAGAAGGCCUUCGGGUCGUAAAACUCUGUUGUCGGGGAAGAACAAGUGCCGUUCGAACAGGGCGGCGCCUUGACGGUACCCGGCCAGAAAGCCACGGCUAACUACGUG